UGCGGAUAUAGCUUAACGGUAGAGUAGUAGUUUGUGGUACUAUUGGUUGUGGGUUCAAAUCUCACUAUCCGCC
rnacentral:tRNA from 1 species